rnacentral:sRNA from 1 species
AUCACCGGAAACUAUUUCCAAUUCAGCUGUUGUUUCUGCCAUCCUGUCAUCUUUUCGAACUUGGAUCUUGAAGAUGUAUGUCUGGUUUAUCUGCAUGUUGGCGGUGUCGAAACUCAGCGUCCCGUUGUUCGUAUCAAUCUUACCAGGACCUUGGCGGAAGCAGCCGCCAUUGUCUGGAGGGUUGGCACCAAGUUCUGUGGUUGUGUAUGGCAUAGAAAGUACGUCGGGAUCGGGGAGAGUUUCGUCGCUUCGUCUACACCACCAGUAUUUUCUGAAAUCAAUUCAAUACUUCACAAGAGUGCAUAAAGAAAAAGCUAUUGGAGGACUAAGUACAGUGGAAUGAUUUUUGCAAAAGAAGUUUUCCAAUACUUCAUCAGCAAUGAAGAGUCAUCGGAACUAAAUAGAUAAAAGUGUAAAUAUUAUUUGUCUAUAGACCAGCGGCCACGUCAGCAGACUUACUAUGUGUAGAUCAUCUUGGUUCGAAUCAAGCAGGAAUAUUCGUUACAUACCUAUAACAUUAUAGACAUUUGAAAAACCGCGCAUCAUCAAAUUGUAAUUCUUGUGUUGUUAUAAAAUAAAUACAUAUGUACAACUG